rnacentral:rRNA from 1 species
GGGUUGUGAGGUUAAGCGACUAAGCGUACACGGUGGAUGCCCUGGCAGUCAGAGGCGAUGAAGGACGUGCUAAUCUGCGAUAAGCGUCGGUAAGGUGAUAUGAACCGUUAUAACCGGCGAUUUCCGAAUGGGGAAACCCAGUGUGAUUCGUCACACUAUCAUUACGUGAAUACAUAGCGUAAUGAAGCGAACCGGGGGAACUGAAACAUCUAAGUACCCCGAGGAAAAGAAAUCAACCGAGAUUCCCCCAGUAGCGGCGAGCGAACGGGGAGCAGCCCAGAGUCUGAAUCAGCUUGUGUGUUAGUGGAACGGUCUGGAAAGUCCGACGGUACAGGGUGAUAGUCCCGUACACCAAAAUGCACAGGUUGUGAACUCGAAGAGUAGGGCGGGACACGUGGUAUCCUGUCUGAAUAUGGGGGGACCAUCCUCCAAGGCUAAAUACUCCUGACUGACCGAUAGUGAACCAGUACCGUGAGGGAAAGGCGAAAAGAACCCCGGCGAGGGGAGUGAAAAAGAACCUGAAACCGUGUACGUACAAGCAGUGGGAGCCUCUUUAUGGGGUGACUGCGUACCUUUUGUAUAAUGGGUCAGCGACUUAUAUUCUGUAGCAAGGUUAACCGUAUAGGGGAGCCGAAGGGAAACCGAGUCUUAACUGGGCGUUAAGUUGCAGGGUAUAGACCCGAAACCCGGUGAUCUAGCCAUGGGCAGGUUGAAGGUUGGGUAACACUAACUGGAGGACCGAACCGACUAAUGUUGAAAAAUUAGCGGAUGACUUGUGGCUGGGGGUGAAAGGCCAAUCAAACCGGGAGAUAGCUGGUUCUCCCCGAAAGCUAUUUAGGUAGCGCCUCGUGAACUCAUCUUCGGGGGUAGAGCACUGUUUCGGCUAGGGGGUCAUCCCGACUUACCAACCCGAUGCAAACUGCGAAUACCGAAGAAUGUUAUCACGGGAGACACACGGCGGGUGCUAACGUCCGUCGUGAAGAGGGAAACAACCCAGACCGCCAGCUAAGGUCCCAAAGUCAUGGUUAAGUGGGAAACGAUGUGGGAAGGCACAGACAGCCAGGAUGUUGGCUUAGAAGCAGCCAUCAUUUAAAGAAAGCGUAAUAGCUCACUGGUCGAGUCGGCCUGCGCGGAAGAUGUAACGGGGCUAAACCAUGCACCGAAGCUGCGGCAGCGACACUAUGUGUUGUUGGGUAGGGGAGCGUUCUGUAAGCCGUUGAAGGUGUAUCGUGAGGUAUGCUGGAGGUAUCAGAAGUGCGAAUGCUGACAUAAGUAACGAUAAUGCGGGUGAAAAACCCGCACGCCGGAAGACCAAGGGUUCCUGUCCAACGUUAAUCGGGGCAGGGUGAGUCGACCCCUAAGGCGAGGCCGAAAGGCGUAGUCGAUGGGAAACAGGUUAAUAUUCCUGUACUUGGUGUUACUGCGAAGGGGGGACGGAGAAGGCUAUGUUAGCCGGGCGACGGUUGUCCCGGUUUAAGCAUGUAGGCGGAGGUUCCAGGUAAAUCCGGUACCUUUUAACGCUGAGGUGUGAUGACGAGGCACUACGGUGCUGAAGUAACAAAUGCCCUGCUUCCAGGAAAAGCCUCUAAGCAUCAGGUAACACGAAAUCGUACCCCAAACCGACACAGGUGGUCAGGUAGAGAAUACCAAGGCGCUUGAGAGAACUCGGGUGAAGGAACUAGGCAAAAUGGUGCCGUAACUUCGGGAGAAGGCACGCUGAUAUGUAGGUGAAGCGGUUUACCCGUGGAGCUGAAAUCAGUCGAAGAUACCAGCUGGCUGCAACUGUUUAUUAAAAACACAGCACUGUGCAAACACGAAAGUGGACGUAUACGGUGUGACGCCUGCCCGGUGCCGGAAGGUUAAUUGAUGGGGUUAUCCGUAAGGAGAAGCUCUUGAUCGAAGCCCCGGUAAACGGCGGCCGUAACUAUAACGGUCCUAAGGUAGCGAAAUUCCUUGUCGGGUAAGUUCCGACCUGCACGAAUGGCGUAAUGAUGGCCAGGCUGUCUCCACCCGAGACUCAGUGAAAUUGAACUCGCUGUGAAGAUGCAGUGUACCCGCGGCAAGACGGAAAGACCCCGUGAACCUUUACUAUAGCUUGACACUGAACACUGGUCCUUGAUGUGUAGGAUAGGUGGGAGGCUUUGAAGUGUGGACGCCAGUCUGCAUGGAGCCAUCCUUGAAAUACCACCCUUUAAUGGCUGGUGUUCUAACGUGGACCCGUGAUCCGGGUUGCGGACAGUGUCUGGUGGGUAGUUUGACUGGGGCGGUCUCCUCCUAAAGAGUAACGGAGGAGCACGAAGGUUAGCUAAUCCUGGUCGGACAUCAGGAGGUUAGUGCAAAGGCAUAAGCUAGCUUGACUGCGAGAGUGACGGCUCGAGCAGGUGCGAAAGCAGGUCUUAGUGAUCCGGUGGUUCUGAAUGGAAGGGCCAUCGCUCAACGGAUAAAAGGUACUCCGGGGAUAACAGGCUGAUACCGCCCAAGAGUUCAUAUCGACGGCGGUGUUUGGCACCUCGAUGUCGGCUCAUCACAUCCUGGGGCUGAAGUAGGUCCCAAGGGUAUGGCUGUUCGCCAUUUAAAGUGGUACGCGAGCUGGGUUUAGAACGUCGUGAGACAGUUCGGUCCCUAUCUGCCGUGGGCGCUGGAGAAUUGAGGGGGGCUGCUCCUAGUACGAGAGGACCGGAGUGGACGCAUCACUGGUGUUCGGGUUGUCAUGCCAAUGGCAUUGCCCGGUAGCUAAAUGCGGAAGAGAUAAGUGCUGAAAGCAUCUAAGCACGAAACUUGCCCCGAGAUGAGUUCUCCCUGAGACUUUAAGUCUCCUGAAGGAACGUUGAAGACGACGACGUUGAUAGGUCGGGUGUGUAAGUGUAGUGAUACAUUGAGCUAACCGAUACUAAUGAACCGUGAGGCUUAACCUUACAACGCCGAAG